rnacentral:rRNA from 1 species
GAUCCUGGCUCAGGAUUAACGCUGGCGGCGUGCAUAACACAUUCAAGUCGAACGGAGAGAUACAACCCUUGGGUAGUAUUGAUCAGUGGCGGACGGGUGAGUAACGCGUGAGUAACCUGCCUGUGAGAGGGGAAUAACAGCUGGAAACGGGUGCUAAUACCGCAUAAAGCAUAAUAAUCGCAUGAUUGAUAUGCCAAAGAGAGAUCGCUCACAGAUGGACUCGCGU